AUAUUUCUUUUUCUUUUUUUUAAAUUAAUCAUUUGGUUCGUAAACAAUUAGACGAUGGACAAAACAUUAUCGAUGUUAUUCUUUAGUAUACUGACGAUGACAACUAGAGGUGAUCCGUGUACUGAUUAUAAAGUUUUGGAUUCAGCUGACGACCACAGACGAUCUGUUGCAAAUAGCUACGGUCAAUUAUGUGAUAAUACCCUGGAGUCAGGAUGGUACAGAAUUAUCAGCAGGGCGGGAGAAAGAAUGCCUACAGAAUGUAUAAUUGGGGGUUUCCGUUGUGGGACAACGUCCUCUAUAUGGAUGAGUGGAACCUACCCAAUUAUCAAUGAGACGAACUCAGUGACUCAUGUACAGCCGACUACAAUGGAAAUUGCUGUGCCUAUUCACAUCAGAUAAAAGUGAAAAAUUGUACCGAUUAUCUCGUCUACAAUUUGGUUCCUGUUGCACCAUGCUAUCAGGCUUAUUGCUUUGGAUCAGAAUUGCCUUGUCCGACUGGAGAAACUUCGGAAAAUGGUUUCAGUCCCGGAUGCAGACGAGAAUUAACGACCACAACCUUUACAACAAAACAAUUAACUUCAACAAUAACAGUAACACCACCACCAACAACAACAAGAUCAAAACCUCAAACCACAGAAAUACCUAAUGAAGAAUCUACAGCAGAAGAAACAACUGAUACAUCCAGCGCAGCAAUCGCUUCAUCACCGACAACAACACAUUCACAGGACAUAUCGACUACUUCACUAGCGACAACAACACAUCUACCGAACAAAGAUGAAAAGGCAGAAUCUUCCAUCAGUAUGACAGUCGUUGGUCUGACUGUCCUUGUUGUUUUCUUGCUUAUUGUUAUAGCCGUAU